GAUGAACGCUGGCGGCGUGCCUAAUACAUGCAAGUCGAGCGAACAGACGAGGAGCUUGCUCCUCUAACGUUAGCGGCGGACGGGUGAGUAACACGUGGAUAACCUACCUAUAAGACUGGGAUAACUUCGGGAAACCGGAGCUAAUACCGGAUAAUAUAUUGAACCGCAUGGUUCAAUAGUGAAAGACGGUUUUGCUGUCACUUAUAGAUGGAUCCGCGCCGCAUUAGCUAUUUGGUAAGGUAACAGAUUACCAAGGCAACGAUGCGUAGCCGACCUGAGAGGGUGAUCGGCCACACUGGAACUGAGACACGGUCCAGACUCCUACGGGAGGCAGCAGUAGGGAAUCUUCCGCAAUGGGCGAAAGCCUGACGGAGCAACGCCGCGUGAGUGAUGAAGGUCUUCGGAUCGUAAAACUCUGUUAUUAGGGAAGAACAAAUGUGUAAGUAACUAUGCACGUCUUGACGGUACCUAAUCAGAAAGCCACGGCUAACUACGUGCCAGCCGCCGCCGUAA
rnacentral:rRNA from 1 species